GCUAGGGUGGCAGAGUGGCAAUGCGCCGGCCUCGAAAGCCGGUGGGCCCUUUGGGCCCGUGUGGGUUCGAAUCCCACCCCUAGCG
rnacentral:tRNA from 1 species